CUACGUGCCAGCAGCCGCGGUAAUACGGAAGGUCCAGGCGUUAUCCGGAUUUAUUGGGUUUAAAGGGAGCGUAGGCGGAUUGUUAAGUCAGCGGUUAAAGGGUGUGGCUCAACCAUACAUUGCCGUUGAAACUGGCGAUCUUGAGUGCAGACAGGGAUGCCGGAAUUCGUGGUGUAGCGGUGAAAUGCUUAGAUAUCACGAAGAACUCCGAUCGCGAAGGCAGGUGUCCGGGCUGCAACUGACGCUGAGGCUCGAAAGUGUGGGUAUCAAACAGGAUUAGAUACCCUGGUAGUCCACACAGUAAACGAUGUAUACUCGCGGUUUGCGAUAGAUUGUAAGCCGCCAAGCGAAAGCAUUAAGUAUACCACCUGGGGAGUACGCCGGCAACGGUGAAACUCAAAGGAAUUGACGGGGGCCCGCACAAGCGGAGGAACAUGUGGUUUAAUUCGAUGAUACGCGAGGAACCUUACCCGGGCUUGAAC
rnacentral:rRNA from 1 species